rnacentral:rRNA from 1 species
UACGAAGGUGGCAAGCGUUGUUCGGAUUUACUGGGUGUACAGGGCGCGUAGGCGGUUGGGUAAGCCCUCCGUGAAAUCUCCGGGCCUAACCCGGAAAGUGCGGAGGGGACUGCUCGGCUAGAGGAUGGGAGAGGAGCGCGGAAUUCCCGGUGUAGCGGUGAAAUGCGUAGAGAUCGGGAGGAAGGCCGGUGGCGAAGGCGGCGCUCUGGAACAUUUCUGACGCUGAGGCUCGAAAGCGUGGGGAGCAAACAGG